CAGAACGAACGCUGGCGGCGACGUCUUAAGCAUGCAAGUCGAACGGCAAGAGGUAGCAAUACCUCCUAGAGUGGCGGACUGGUGAGUAACACGUGGGUGACAUACCCUUCAGAUGGGGAUAGCUAUUAGAAAUAGUAGAUAAUACCGAAUACGAGCACAGGGGUUAGAGAUCUGUGAGGAAAGGAGCUAAGGCUCCGCUGAAGGAAUGGCCUGCGGCCCAUUAGCUAGUUGGUGAGGUAAGAGCCCACCAAGGCGAUGAUGGGUAUCCGGCCUUAGAGGGUGAACGGACACAUUGGGACUGAGAUACGGCCCAGACUCCUACGGGAGGCAGCAGCUAAGAAUAUUCCGCAAUGGACGAAAGUCUGACGGAGCGACGCCGCGUGGAUGAAGAAGGCCGGAAGGUUGUAAAAUCCUUUUGAAACUGAAGAAUAAGCGUUGUAGGGAAUGACAGCGUGGUGACAGUAGGUUUUGAAUAAGCAACGGCUAAUUACGUGCCAGCAGCCGC
rnacentral:rRNA from 1 species